rnacentral:rRNA from 1 species
GACAGAGGAUGCAAGCGUUAUCCAGAAUGAUUGGGCGUAAAGCGUCUGUAGGUGGCUUUUCAAGUCCGCCGUCAAAUCCCAGGGCUCAACCCUGGACAGGCGGUGGAAACUACCAUGCUGGAGUACGGUAGGGGCAGAGGGAAUUUCCGGUGGAGCGGUGAAAUGCAUUGAGAUCGGAAAGAACACCAACGGCGAAAGCACUUUGCUGGGCCGACACUGACACUGAGAGACGAAAGCUAGGGGAGCAAAUGGG